rnacentral:rRNA from 1 species
GGUCAAGCGAACAAGUGCAUGUGGUGGAUGCCUUGGCGAUCACAGGCGAUGAAGGACGCGGUAGCCUGCGAAAAGCCCCGGGGAGCUGGCAAACAAGCUUUGAUCCGGGGAUGUCCGAAUGGGGAAACCCACUCCUUAUGGAGUAUCCAUAGCUGAAUACAUAGGCUAUGUGAAGCGAACGCGGUGAACUGAAACAUCUAAGUAACCGCAGGAAAAGAAAUCAACCGAGAUUCCCAAAGUAGUGGCGAGCGAAAUGGGAUGAGCCUUGUACUCUUUAUUUGUAUUGUUAGCCGAACGCUCUGGAAAGUGCGGCCAUAGCAGGUGAUAGCCCUGUAGGCGAAAACAGUAUGAAAGAACUAGGUGUACGACAAGUAGGGCGGGACACGUGAAAUCCUGUCUGAAGAUGGGGGGACCAUCCUCCAAGGCUAAAUACUCGUGAUCGACCGAUAGUGAACCAGUACCGUGAGGGAAAGGCGAAAAGAACCCCGGGAGGGGAGUGAAAUAGAUCCUGAAACCGCAUGCAUACAAACAGUCGGAGCCUCGUAAGGGGUGACGGCGUACCUUUUGUAUAAUGGGUCAGCGACUUACGUUCAGUAGCAAGCUUAACCGUAUAGGGCAGGCGUAGCGAAAGCGAGUCCGAAUAGGGCGUUCAGUUGCUGGGCGUAGACCCGAAACCAGGUGAUCUAUCCAUGGCCAGGAUGAAGGUGCGGUAACACGUACUGGAGGUCCGAACCCACUAACGUUGAAAAGUUAGGGGAUGAGCUGUGGAUAGGGGUGAAAGGCUAAACAAACCUGGAAAUAGCUGGUUCUCUCCGAAAACUAUUUAGGUAGUGCCUCGUGUCUCACCUUCGGGGGUAGAGCACUGUCAUGGUUGGGGGGUCUAUUGCAGAUUACCCCGCCAUAGCAAACUCCGAAUACCGAAGAGUGCAAUCACGGGAGACAGACAUCGGGUGCUAACGUCCGGUGUCAAGAGGGAAACAACCCAGACCGCCAGCUAAGGUCCCCAAAUAUGGCUAAGUGGGAAACGAAGUGGGAAGGCUAAAACAGUCAGGAGGUUGGCUUAGAAGCAGCCACCCUUUAAAGAAAGCGUAAUAGCUCACUGAUCGAGUCGUCCUGCGCGGAAGAUGUAACGGGGCUAAGCCAUAUACCGAAGCUGCGGAUGCGAGCUUGCUCGCAUGGUAGGAGAGCGUUCCGUAAGCCUGCGAAGGUGCCUUGUAAAGGGUGCUGGAGGUAUCGGAAGUGCGAAUGCUGACAUGAGUAGCGAUAAAGGGGGUGAAAGGCCCCCUCGCCGUAAGCCCAAGGUUUCCUACGCAACGUUCAUCGGCGUAGGGUGAGUCGGCCCCUAAGGCGAGGCAGAAAUGCGUAGCUGAUGGGAAGCAGGUCAAUAUUCCUGCACCAUUGUUAGAUGCGAUGGGGGGACGGAUCGCGGAAGGUUGUCCGGGUGUUGGACGUCCCGGUCGCUGCAUUGGAGAAGGCGCUUAGGCAAAUCCGGGCGCGGAAUUCAAGGGUGUGGCGCGAGCGACUUCGGUCGCGAAGCAAUUGGAAGUGGUUCCAAGAAAAGCCUCUAAGCUUCAGUCUAACGAUGACCGUACCGCAAACCGACACAGGUGGGCGAGAUGAGUAUUCUAAGGCGCUUGAGAGAACUCGGGAGAAGGAACUCGGCAAAUUGGUACCGUAACUUCGGGAUAAGGUACGCCCUUGUAGCUUGACCAGCCUGCGCUGGAAGGGUGAAGGGGUUGCAAUAAACUGGUGGCUGCGACUGUUUAAUAAAAACACAGCACUCUGCAAACACGAAAGUGGACGUAUAGGGUGUGACGCCUGCCCGGUGCCGGAAGAUUAAAUGAUGGGGUGCAAGCUCUUGAUUGAAGUCCCGGUAAACGGCGGCCGUAACUAUAACGGUCCUAAGGUAGCGAAAUUCCUUGUCGGGUAAGUUCCGACCUGCACGAAUGGCGUAACGAUGGCCACACUGUCUCCUCCCGAGACUCAGCGAAGUUGAAGUGUUUGUGAUGAUGCAAUCUACCCGCGGCUAGACGGAAAGACCCCAUGAACCUUUACUGUAGCUUUGCAUUGGACUUUGAACCGAUCUGUGUAGGAUAGGUGGGAGGCUAUGAAACCGGAACGCUAGUUUCGGUGGAGCCGUCCUUGAAAUACCACCCUGGUUUGUUUGAGGUUCUAACCUUGGUCCGUGAUCCGGAUCGGGGACAGUGCAUGGUAGGCAGUUUGACUGGGGCGGUCUCCUCCCAAAGGGUAACGGAGGAGUACGAAGGUACGCUAGGUACGGUCGGAAAUCGUGCUGAUAGUGCAAUGGCAUAAGCGUGCUUAACUGCGAGACCGACAAGUCGAGCAGGUGCGAAAGCAGGUCAUAGUGAUCCGGUGGUUCUGUAUGGAAGGGCCAUCGCUCAACGGAUAAAAGGUACUCUGGGGAUAACAGGCUGAUACCGCCCAAGAGUUCAUAUCGACGGCGGUGUUUGGCACCUCGAUGUCGGCUCAUCUCAUCCUGGGGCUGUAGCCGGUCCCAAGGGUAUGGCUGUUCGCCAUUUAAAGAGGUACGUGAGCUGGGUUUAAAACGUCGUGAGACAGUUUGGUCCCUAUCUGCCGUGGGCGUUGGAUAUUUGAAGGGGGCUGCUCCUAGUACGAGAGGACCGGAGUGGACGAACCUCUGGUGUACCGGUUGUGACGCCAGUCGCAUCGCCGGGUAGCUAUGUUCGGAAGAGAUAACCGCUGAAAGCAUCUAAGCGGGAAACUCGCCUUAAGAUGAGAUAUCCCUGGAGGCUUGACCUCCUUGAAGGGUCGUUCGAGACCAGGACGUUGAUAGGUCGGGUGUGUAAGCGCAGUAAUGCGUUCAGCUAACCGAUACUAAUUGCCCGUAAGGCUUGAUCCU